AUCGCGAGGGGAGGGAGCCCGAACGAAACGACCAAAGCAAAGCGAAAGAGAAGAGAAAUCGGCCGGUCUUCCCUCGCUGGACUAACUAGCGAGUAGAGAGAGAGAGAGAGCAUCAGAGCAGGCGAAUCACAUCGCAGAGCCAAGGCAGCAGCCUCAUCGCCGCCGGUGGUUCGCUUCCUGCCGCCCCACCAAGCCCCGAAUCAAAGCCGGGGCUGCGCCUCCCUCCCUGCUAUUGGUGUUGGUUUAUCGCGCGGCUGGCCGGGGGCGCUGUCGUGUGCUGCGGAGAGGAGGACCGGAGGGGGCGGAGCAUGGACGGAUCCGCCGCGGCGGAGCUGGAGAGGGCGGAGAGGGUGGUGAGGCGGUGGAACUCCACGGCGUCCGCGCCCGCGGGCGGCGGGGGCGGGGGCGGGGGCGGGGAGGACCAGAUGCUGUUCGACGGCGGCGGGGACCGGGCGGAGGCCGAGCGCUUCCUCCAGGCGGUGGACGACCUCCGCCGCCUCGCGCCGCCGUCCCCCGGCAGCCCGCGCCGCACCUCCUCGGCGGGGGCCUCCGGCGCCGUCCAGGUCGCCAUGGCGCGGCUCGAGGACGAGUUCCGCCACGUGCUGGCGUCGCGCGCGGUCGACCUCGAGAUCGAGGUGCUCGCCGACCUCAGCUCUCUCUCCAUGUGUAGCGACCGCUCCAGCUUCUCCGACGUCGGCGACGCGCCGCCGGUGGACGACGACUCCGUCGAGUCCUCCGUCGGCCGCCGCAGCAGCUACCGCUCCAUGCGCAGCAUCCGCGAGAUCGACCUCCUCCCGCCCGAAGCCGUCACCGACCUCAACGCCAUCGCCUCCCGCAUGGCCGCCGCCGGCUACGACCGCGAGUGCGUCCAGGUCUACGCCUCCGUCCGCAAGCCGGCCGUCGACUCCGCCCUGCGCCGCCUCGGCGUCGAGAAGCUCACCAUCGGCGACGUCCAGCGGCUCGAGUGGGACGCCGUCGAGGUCAAGAUCCGCCGCUGGAUCCGCGCAGCCCGCGCCGCCGUCCGCGGCGUUUUCGCCAGCGAGCGCCGCCUUUGCUUCCUCAUCUUCCACGACCUUCCCGUCUCCAACCCCACCAUCGCCACCCCCGCUCCCACCACCACGUCCGCCGCCCCCUUCGUCGAAACUGUCAAGGGCGCCGCGCUGCAGCUCUUUGGCUUUGCCGAGGCCAUCAGCAUCGGCCGCCGCUCACCGGAGAAGCUCUUCAAGAUCAUUGAUCUGCACGAUGCACUGGCCGAUCUGCUUCCUGAUGUCUCCGAUAUCUUCGCCGCCUCCAAGGCCGCGGAAUCCAUAUAUGUGCAGGCUACCGAGAUCAGGGCGCGUCUGGCUGAUGCUGUCCGUGGGAUACUCUCCGAGUUCGAGAGCGCCGUUCUCCGUGACCCGUCCAAGACUCCAGUACCCGGCGGCACCAUCCAUCCCCUCACUCGCUAUGUGAUGAAUUACAUUGUCCUCAUUUCAGACUACAAGACGACACUUUCUGAGCUGAUCGUGUCACGGCCAUCAGCUAGCUCGCGCGUUUCUGCUGAGGGCAAUGAGCUCAGACCGUCAUUUCCUGAUCUGGACCUUCCUGAUCCUGACAGCCAGCUACCCCUUUCUGCUCAUCUCAUCUGGACUAUUGUGGUUCUUGAACACAACCUUGAAGGCAAGGCAUCACUCUACAAGGACCCGGCACUCUCUCACUUGUUCCUAAUGAACAAUGUGCACUAUAUCGUGCACAAGGUAAAGGACUCGCCUGAGCUCUGGGGACUCAUUGGCGAUGUGUACCUAAAGCGGCUCACAGGUAAGUUCCGGUUGGCAGCCACAGCUUACCAGCGCAGUGCAUGGCUUAAGAUCCUGAAUUGUCUAAGAGACGAGGGUCUCCAUGUCAGCGGUGGCUUUUCAUCAGGAAUAUCCAAAUCAGCACUUCGGGAGCGCUUCAAGUCUUUCAAUGCUGCGUUCGAGGAGGCACAUAGGGCUCAGUCUGGGUGGUAUGUGCCUGACACACAGCUGAAAGAAGAGCUUAGGAUCUCAAUAGCAGAGAAGCUGCUCCCAGCAUACCGGUCCUUCCUUGGUCGAUUCCGGCAUCAUAUUGAGAAUGGGAGGCAUCCAGAGUUGUACAUCAAAUACACAGUUGAGGACCUUGAGAUAUCUGUGAUGGAUUUCUUUGAGGGGUCUCCACCUCCGCCGCAUAAUAGGAGGAGAUCCCAUGGAUGAGAGAUUGCUUGAAGCUUGCAGUAGUCGUAUCACUUGGUUGGGUGUUGUUGCCGAGCAUUCUUUAAUUCUUCGGUGAAGCCAGUGCAGGCAGUCGGGUAUGUAUUUUGUUUCACUCUCACGAGACUUAAGGGUGUAGUUGGUGAUGAUUUCUUCUACUAGAGGUAAUCUGAAACAGAAUCAGGAUCAUGUUGACGCUGUCAAAAGUCUUGGUGUUUCUUCCUCAGUUGGCGAUCUUGUGCAUUUGUUAAAGUGUUGUUGUAAUUUUGUGUAGCAGCAUGUUCAUAUAGGAAUGUUCUUUUAGUAAUGUCGCAUAGUUGUAAGUUGUAAUUUCCUGGUCUUCAUUUGACCUUUAGCUGGGUGUCCUGCCUUCCUCUUGGUUGAAUCAAAUAUAAAUACGAAGAUUGCACUUGAUAGAUUAGAUAUAAAAUCAGCUGUGCUACUUGUGUUGCAAUUUUAUAUUAUGUAGGAUAAAGUUCUUGCCUCAAGUUUCAGUUUUGAGGUUUCCACCCCAGGUCCCUUUUCCAGUGAAAUACCAGUAUCUAUCACUCCCCUGUCUUGAAUUCUUGAUAAAUAAACCCUAUGCUCUAGCAGAUGGCAGCGAAUUGAUCAAUGUAUCAUCUUGUUGCACUCGGCAGUAGACUAGAGUAUCAGAGCUUUGAUUUGGGCUGGUAUUUAGUUACAUAGAAAAGAAGGCCCUGUACCUGUUAACCAGUGGUGCAGCCAUAAUAUGCUCAUCAUGUCUUUGUCCCUAUUUAGUGGUUGAUAAGUUGCUUACUGUGUGGAUCUACUGGUGUGCUAACGAUUUCAUUAACGAUCAUAGAAAAGCAAAUAUAAGUACGAAGGUAACAGAAAGGAGGCUAGAAUAUUAAUAAUAAUAUUCAGAUUCUGCUAUAUCUGUUAAACCUUUCUAUCAUGUACAAUUUAACACACAAUUCAUCGUUCCUGGCUGUUACCUGCUAUCACAUAUUAC
rnacentral:rRNA from 1 species